AGACGAACCGUACGAACGUUAUUCGGAAUCACUGGGCUUAAAGGGUGCGUAGGCGGCAUAGCAAGUUGGGUGUGAAAUCCCUCGGCUCAACCGAGGAAUGGCGCCCAAAACUGCCUUGCUUGAGGGAGAUAGAGGUGAGCGGAACUACGGGUGGAGCGGUGAAAUGCGUUGAUAUCCGUAGGAACACCGGUGGCGAAAGCGGCUCACUGGGUCUCUUCUGACGCUGAGGCACGAAAGCUAGGGUAGCGAACGGGAUUAGAAACCCCAGUAGUCC
rnacentral:rRNA from 1 species